rnacentral:rRNA from 1 species
AUGGGCGGCCGCCAACCUGGCAUCACCCCAAAUUCCUUUGAGGAGGCGCCACAAGGUGACGCCCCAACUCCUAGUGCACUUAUUAUAUGCCCACAUGCAGCAGCACUUUGGGACGCCAUGAGAGAAACCUGGGAGUUUCCUACUCCAGAGGAUCUACAUGAUGCUGAGCCGGAGUGGCUAUUUCGCUUGCUGGACAAGAUCUCCGAAACACAGAAGUUGUCCACGCUGAUGAUUAUGUGGAGGAUUUGGUACACGCGAAAUGAAAUCACUCAUAAAAAACCCCAGUUCCGAUCGAAGUGUCUCGCCGGUUCUUGUCCAGCUACAUCAAUUCUCUACUCGCCAUUAAGCAAUACCCGGAUGCCGAUCCUGUGA